rnacentral:rRNA from 1 species
UGAUUUUGAUUAUGGCUCACGACGAACGCUGGCGGCGUGCCUAACACCUGCUACUCGAGCGAAUGAAAUUCCUUCUGGAACGGAUUUAGCGGCGGACGGGUGAGUAACACGUGGGGCAACCUGCCUCAUAGAGGGGAAUAGCCUUCCGAAAGGGAGAUUAAUACCGCAUAAGAUUGUAGUACCGCAUGGUACAGCAAUUAAAGGAGCAAUCCGCUAUGAGAUGGGCCCGCGGCGCAUUAGCUAGUUGGUGAGGUAACGGCUCACCAAGGCGACGAUGCGUAGCCGACCUGAGAGGGUGAUCGGCCACAUUGGGACUGAGACACGGCCCAGACUCCUACGGGAGGCAGCAGUAGGGAAUCUUCCACAAUGGGCGCAAGCCUGAUGGAGCAACACCGCGUGAGUGAAGAAGGGUUUUGGCUCGUAAAGCUCUGUUGUUGGAGAAGAACGUGCGUGAGAGUAACUGUUCACGCAGUGACGGUAUCCAACCAGAAAGUCACGGCUAACUACGUGCCAGCAGCCGCGGUAAUACGUAGGUGGCAAGCGUUAUCCGGAUUUAUUGGGCGUAAAGCGAGCGCAGGCGGUCGCUUAGGUCUGAUGUGAAAGCCUUCGGCUUAACCGAAGAAGUGCGUCGGAAACCGGGCGACUUGAGUGCAGAAGAGGACAGUGGAACUCCAUGUGUAGCGGUGGAAUGCGUAGAUAUAUGGAAGAACACCAGUGGCGAAGGCGGCUGUCUGGUCUGCAACUGACGCUGAGGCUCGAAAGCAUGGGUAGCGAACAGGAUUAGAUACCCUGGUAGUCCAUGCCGUAAACGAUGAGA